UAUGGCUGUGCCCUCCUGAACACAGCUGAUCUCAUCUGCUCUUAGAAUCUAAGCAGGGCCAGGUCUGGUUAGUACUUGCAAGAUAAGACUUGCUAUUU
rnacentral:rRNA from 1 species